AAUACCCAGGCUUGUUCCCAGGCGCGCUUGGAUGGGAAAUACCAACACGCUAAAAAUAGAUUCACGCAAUGACACCGACGACAUCGCCUGGAGCUCGGUUUUCAUUCGACUCAGAUCGGGAAGGCUGAACUGAACGCGAGAAUGUCUGGGAAAGGACAAAAAAGCUGGUUCCCUCCCCCGCCUUCUCAAGGAAACCCAACAUCACCCCCUGUUCAAAGGCCACGCCCACAGGAUCCACGGCCAAGACCAAGACCAAGAUCUCCAGUUUACAAACCUGCUUUCCAACCAAGAAGCUGAGUUAGCAGUUUUCCGAAGACUUCUUCCUCUCUGCAAAGAAAAUAUCAAAACUGGAAAGGACCAUGCAGACAUUUUCAUGUAGGCCGGUUACCUUGGCCGUAAUAUUGCAGGAAUGUUGCUAAAAGCGGCCUUAAACUAAACACACUCACUCAUGAAGUCCUAAGCAUUAACAAUUUUUGGAUUAAGAUUGUCUUCGGACAAUUCAGAAGUCCGAAGUCCAGACCUUAAUCAGCUUGCUGAAAGCACAAAUGAAAUUAUACAUAUUUCUUAUUUUCGUAGUGUCAGAAAACGGGUGAAUAAACUGGGGAUUUAAAACAUAAAUCCGAAAUUGGUUAUUGA